rnacentral:snoRNA from 1 species
UGGCCUUGAUGACUUCAUUAUAGAGCCAGGUCUGGGACUCCGAAACCACAUCCUUGCUGCGAUGCACUGAGCGA